AAUCUGUGCAUGGGACAUUUGUGUAAAAGCUCCUUAUAUCGCUCCCAAGCCUCGUACAUGGAUUCAUCAUCUUCCUACUGAAAAGAAGUGAUGUCGUUACGUAAUUU